rnacentral:tRNA from 1 species
GAGGUUGUAGCUUAGUGGUGGAGCACCUACCUAGCAUGUGUGAGACACUGGGUUCAAUUCUCAGCACCACA